CAAACACACACAGACACACUCACACACACACACACACACACACACACACACACACACACAUACACACACAUACACACACACACACAGACACACAAUGCUUUGACAAGAUUGUUGAUUCGCCAAGUUAAAGGAAGAAAAGCACAUGUUUACUAGUGUGAAUGUGAUGUUGUACAGAUGAGAUGAACAAACUGGAUCCUCACAAGCAACUAAAUCGUUCUGAUAAAAUAAGCACAAUGUGCUGAUAAUCCAGUACAACAACUAAGUACUUUAGUUAUUCAAACCUAACUAAGUACCUCGUUUAACCUUAACUAAGUUAAAGGACUUCAUAGUCAACUUCUCUGUGUUUUGAAGUAGAAAUGGAAUAUUGGACCUCUGAUGUUCCGGAUCGUCUCCGGGGGACAUUUAAUGAGCCUCGGCUCAGAAGGCGACUUUUGAUGGUGAAUCGUCCAGCGUCGUCAUGCUGAGUCCUCUUCAUUGUGCUGUGAGUUAUUCACAGCCGUCCUCCUGCAUUGCUCUUUUCUUUGGUCCUCGUAGACAUGAUGAUGAAGCGCUGUCCUCACAUCAGGCGUUCUGUUCAGAACGUCUACGAGGAACCAACGUUCCCUCAAUGACGCAAGAAUCUAGACGUCUCCUCAGUGAACAGAGAGCAAAGAGAAUCACAUCCUGUGGGUUGGCUCCUCCUCUCCUGUAUGCAUGUACUUAUAUACCCGUACACAAAGUAUUACUAUGGUAAAGGGUGUAAAUGGCAAUCUGCCUGUAAGCUCCAGGCGAUCAGCUGUUUCUGUCUCUAAUGGUUGUUCAUGACUCACAGUGGUCUCCCAUCGACUGAGGGAACAUUGCUAAUGAAGGGAGGGAACGGGGGGAGGAGGAGGAGAGAGGGAGGAACAGGACAGGAGGCGUGUCAAAGUAAAAGCAGAGCUCCGCCCACCAGGAACGAGCCCUUAUUGUCACUUAAAUAACGUAAAUAUGAAGCGAGUUCUUUGCUUCUUCUUCUAAUCGACAGCUGAAUGAAUCUAAAACCGAAGCUCUGAAUCAUUAUCACAUGCAGAUCUCUGCAGUACAUCAAAUAUACACGCAGAAAGCCCCCCCAAGAAUAUUUUAAAACAUUUUUAAUUCAUGAAAUACUUUUCAAACCAUAAUUACUAAGUAUAUAACCUCACAGAUUCCCUAAAGUUAACAAAUUGUUUUCUUCUUAUAAAGAGUUUUUGUUUCACAAAUCGAGCACUUGAUCUGCAUCCAAAGAUGAAUUCAAUUUGUGUGAAUUUAUGUGAAGUUACUAGUUACUUGUUUCCGCUAAUCCACUAAUCCGCUAAUCCACUAAUCUACUAAUCCAACCUAAAACAAUCCACACGCCUCAGUCUUCAACCCGCCGACGGCUCCUCAGAGACCAAUUAGACUCACACACCUGAGACGCAGGAAACCACACACACACCGCACACAAGCACACGCACACAGAGUGUUACCCCCCCCCUCCCCCCAUGUCGCUCGCCUCGCUUCAUUUCCAUGCAGAUUAUGUCGAACGAAUCGAAGAUGCAGAACAAAGCGAAGACAUUCGUGUUUGAGCUUCACAUCGAACAGAGAAGGAUGAUUGUUUUCUGCACGGAGACACAGAAAGACGCAGCAGAUUUUCAUCUGUGACUCUUUGACAUUAACUUUACUUCACUGACUCCUUUAGGCGUGCAGGAGUUUGUUGCCACGGUGACGGCACUCACUGGGUUACGGACCUCAGAUCGGUCCUUUUGUUAAUCAACCGGUGAACAGGAAGUGACCAUAUAAGGACUGAGGAGGACGUAGAGACGGCGUAUACGUCUGGUAGAGACCUGUCAAUCAGCGUGUAGGCCCGCCCUAAAGCACCUCCUGCUUUAUGGUGUAUUUAUAUCCAACAGUAAGUCCGUUGCCUCCACGUUAUAUUUACACGUAAUAAAAAACCUUUGCUCACACUUCAAGGUUUUCACAGAGAACGAGAGACUCACACUGUGUGGUUAACGGCGCACACACACAGACUCACACACACACACACACACAGUUUGUAACUAAAAAUACCCUUUUUUUCUCUUCCUCUCUUAUUUUUUUUCUUCUCUAUUGUUUUCUUUUUCUGCCACAAAGAGAGUUUUUUAAUAUAUUCUUUUAUUUUCUAAAAACAAACGUGCAACACACAUGGCGACGCUGUGGUCCAAUCAAUGAACCCGUAGCCGAUCUGCACCCGGGCUCCGCCUCUCAGCCGUGCUCCUGCAGCACCACCUCCUCCUCCGUCAGCGGCCCCUGCAGGUCCCCGUUGAUUAGCAUCCAACCAGCUGCACAUUUUGUAUCGAGCAGCACUUUGUGAGCGCCCCAAAGGAUUCUGGGUGAUGGUUUGUUUGUCCCUCCAUAAGGGAGAGGCGCCUUUAAACGGAGCGCUCGGUUUGGACGCCUCGGGCCCCCCCCCUCUUUCCUUCAGCAGAAGGCCGGCGCGUGUCCAUGAAUUAUUAAUCGCACAGACUUUAAAAUAAUUGAGAAGAGUUUUUGUCUGCUUUCAUGCCGCUACAAAAGGCCACGGCGAGUAAUUACAUUUAACGGGUUCACUUGGGCGCUGAGAUGAACACAGCAGAGACAUGAGAAUAGUCAGCUGACAGGAAGUAGGAAGUAGAGGGGUUUAAAUCCAAACACAUUUUUCUCCCCCAACUUCCUGCUUCUUGUCUCUCCGACGUCUUCGGGGAAGAAACAAAAGACAAAGUGACUUAAGACAAGGAGGACAAGACGUUCUUCUUCUGGACCGACAGGAAGGGACACGUGAACAGGCGUGUGCGUGUGUGUGACAUCAUCAAGGUGCGUCGCUCAGACCCCCUCGUUUCACAUCCUUCAGCUCAUCUGGAAGAGACUCGCCAACUGGACCCGGGGGGGUUACAGUCUGCCCCUUCAGGCCCAACUGGUCUCCAAUCCAAAGGCCGCUCUGUGACCGUUUCCCAGAAUGCUCUGGGUGUGAUGGAGCUUAUGAGCUCACGAGGGACUCGUCUCUCCAACGCCAUUGAUUUAGCGGAGCAGUCGGUCCUGAAGCAGUUCUGUGCGGAUCCUUGGAGAAAACCAGGAGGCCUCUGAGGAGCUCCAGACCAGCUCCAUGUCCUCAAGGUCACCAAGUCCACAGAAAGCUCAGAAGCUCAGGGAGACACGUGGAGGAACCUCGUUGGUCAAUGAACCACUUCAUUCUUUAUCAUAAGAUGUGAUCCGUCGUUUGUUAUUAUGUGAUGUAGAUAAAUGAAAACUAUUGAUUCACACACACACACACACACACAUUGUAGAGUGUGUGUGUGUGUGUGUGUGUGUGUGUGCGCACACAGCCUGAGGUGUUGAGCUGAAUGACAAAUGUUUGCCAUGGUGCUCAUAACGCUGAGAGCAGAACACCAGUACAACCUACUGUGUGUGUGUGUGUGUGUGUGUGUGUGUGUGUGUGUGUGCGUCACAGCUGCAUCGUGUUGUGUAUGUUUACACACUAUUGUGUCUCUCUCAUCGUUUCAUCACAUAUUUGUAGAGAUUACAGAUCAGAGUCCAGCAGAUAAACUCUGAUCCUGGUACUUCUCGUAGUACUCGUAGUACUCGUAGUACCACUGGCUGUACAUGAGCAGUAGUGUUUGUGUCUUAGUUGUUGUGACCUUUUUGUGAAGCCUUUAGUUUGACACAAGUUGUAUCCUGACCCCGAAGCAGCUUGGUGUAAUUAAGUCUGCAGCUCAUGGUUUCUACGUCACACGUACGUAUCAGAGCUCUGACUCUCUUCACGUCACCUGACACGAGACACGUGUGUUUAUUCGUUCAGGGACAAAAGUCUCUCUGACAGCCGGCGGCCAUUGAAACGCCUCCGUACCAUCAUCGGACCACCGGCGAGGGCAUCGCCGCCGUUUCUGGUCCAUCAUGUCAACACGUUCUGCCUCACACCAGGACAGCCUGGGAGACGUGGACGGCAGGUUAAAGCCACCCUGCGAUUGGCCGGUCUGCGUUCCGGAGGCGGGACUUGGUGGGUCUUUGAAACACCGUCACUGACUCAUAACUACCUACGUGUGAUUUUAUACGAGGAACUGGCGGGAUGAUUGAACUACGUGAGAUCUGAAAUGUUCUUAACUGUGAUGUCAUACAGCUGAGGCUCCGCCUCCUCCAUCCUUCAACAAUCUUCUCGCUCUGGGUUUCUCGCCUCGAGAGGUUUUAUAUCUCCCCGAGGACGCGGCGUGGAGAUACGAGGAAACGGGGAAAAGAAGAUUUAUUCCGUUGAUCAUUUCCAUCAGAGCACUUCAGCAAACGAGAGGAUUCAGAGCCACAGAACCGAUAUGUUAUAAAACGGAGGCUUCGCUCCAAUCAGGUCCGAUUUAUUUCAUUCUCAUUCUUCUUCAGGUGGCUUCGCUUUAUUGGUCUUCUAGUUUGGCCUCUAGGCGAAGGGCUAGUACUGGUUUAAGAUGCACUACUGGUUUAACACAGGCUAGUACUGGUUUAAGAUGCACUACUGGUUUAACACAGGUUAGUACUGGUUUAAGAUAUUCCACUACUGGUUUAACACAGGCUAGUACUGGUUUAAGAUGCACUACUGGUAGAAGCAGUCUUAUACUCUAAUGAUGGUUUUGCAGUCUAGAAGCAGAGGAAGAGCCUUGCUGCUCUUUGUCUGGCUGCAGAUGUUCCAGAUGUCAAGCUGCUCAGAGCCGACAACCAGCAGCUCAGGUUCGGUUCUCAAUCGGUCCAGUUCUCAGCUUGGAGGUCACACGUCUGAGGCCUCCCGCGGAGAAGAGGACUCGAGGAGGGAAACUGACAGGAACUCAUUUCUGCCCCUUUCAGCCCACAAAGGAGCCACACGGCUGAAAAGCUGCAGGCUUCCCUCUGAAUGUUCCCCAGAAGCAGCCGACCUGCGUUCAGAAAAUGAUUCCUGCUAUUUUGUCCCAGGACUUGUGUGUGUUCAUGUCUCCUGCAGCAACAAAGGUCCUUUGUGCUGUUCAGAGACGGAGCUACACACACACACACACACACACACAAAGGUCCAUCUUCACUUUACUGGAUCUGUCCUCCAACACGUCUCCAUCUCUGCUGCUUCUUUUACUCCUUAAAACUGAUCUCAUCCGGCAUUCGUGGCAAAGCCUCAGGAAAGGAACGCGUCCUAAUCUCCAGAUAUCCCACAAAAGACUAAUUAUUUUGAAUGACGUGUACAGCUAGUAAGUAAGUUUAUUUUUAAAAGACUGUAUUCAUGUAAGAAGCAGAAAUACUGCACAUCUUGAUGUCUUCUGUAAAAAAAAAAGAGCACGAAAAUGAGGAGAAUCUUUUCUUACGAUAUCGGACUGUUGUGUGGCGAACAGUUACAGUGCCUGGGGCUUUUAUUGUGAAAGGUUACACCAGAAGCAGUGUAUCUGGCCUGUGUAUUGAACCUAUUGAACACAUCUGCUCCUCCUCAUGUGAUCGAUGCCUUCAUCCACCUCCUGAGGUUUUUACCUUGCGUUCUAUGUGGGGAAACAACAGCUGUAAACAUAAAUAUUGACUCCGGCGGCCUCGAGGUCCGCGGUCCACAACCUUCUUAUUUAACUAAAUAACAGCUUUCCUCUGUAAUUACACCACUCUGGAUGAUAACGUGUAACAACACGAGGAAGGUGGGAACGUCAAUUAUUCCUUCAAUAGCCUUUUGGCCUCAGUGGGCCUGUGUGUGUGUGCAGUGAUUCUCCCUGCGUUGACCUUUGACCCUCUGUGUGUAAAGCAUGAGCUGGAGGAGAUAUUUACAUGUGUUUCCCUGAGCUGUUCGUCUGGAUGCAGGCUGGCGUGGCGCCCUGGGGGGGGGGGGGGGGUCUGACAGGACCCGCAGCUCCUGGUUGUGGAUUCUGUGUUUACGCUGAUGGUCACAGACUUCUUCAUUAGACCCGAACACUCGUCUCCCGAGUCCUCGGCUCUUCUUCUGCUCGUCUCUCACCUGGAGGCCUUUUUGUCGUCCAACUUUUCUACAGGUGAAUGCUGGGAAUGUGACCUGUCACUCAAAAGCAGUGCUGGGGGGGCUCUGUAAUGUAAAAGGGGGGAGGUGAGAGGAAGAGUCUCUUCUGUCCUUCACAUCUGCACCCACCCCCUCAAACCUGCCCCCACUUCCUCUAACCUGCCCCCCCUCCCUCAAACCUGCCCCCACUCCCUCUAACCUGCCCCCCCUCCCUCAAACCUGCCCCCACUCCCUCUAACC
ensembl:lncRNA